ensembl:snRNA U6 U6 spliceosomal RNA
GUGCUCGCUUUGGCAGCACAUAUACUAAAAUUGGAACAAUACAGAGAAGAGAAAAUUAGUAUGGGCCCUGCACAAGGAUGACACACAAAUUCGUGAAGGGUUCCAUAUUUUU